rnacentral:rRNA from 1 species
GUGCCAGCAGCCGCGGUAAAACCAGCACCUCAAGUGGUCAGGAUGAUUAUUGGGCCUAAAGCAUCCGUAGCCUGCUCUGUAAGUUUUCGGUUAAAUCUGUACGCUCAACGUACAGGCUGCCGGGAAUACUGCAAAGCUAGGGAGUGGGAGAGGUAGACGGUACUCGGGAGGAAGUGGUAAAAUGCUUUGAUCUCUCGAUGACCACCUGUGGCGAAGGCGGUCUACCAGAACACGUCCGACGGUGAGGGAUGAAAGCUGGGGGAGCAAACCGGAUUAGAUACCCGGGUAGUCCCAGCUGUAAACUAUGCAAACUCAGUGAUGCAUUGGCUUGUGGCCAAUGCAGUGUUGCAGGGAAGCCGUUAAGUUUGCCGCCUGGGAAGUACGUACGCAAGUAUGAAACUUAAAGGAAUUGGCGGGGGAGCACCACAAGGGGUGAAGCCUGCGGUUCAAUUGGAGUCAACGCCAGAAAUCUUACCCGGAGAGACAGCAGAAUGAAGGUCAAGCUGAAGACUUUACCAGACAAGCUGAGAGGUGGUGCAUGGCCGUCGCCAGCUCGUGCCGUGAGAUGUCCUGUUAAGUCAGGUAACGAGCGAGAUCCCUGCCUCUAGUUGCCAUCAUUACUCUCAGGAGUAGUGGGGCGAAUUAGCGGGACCGCCGCAGUUAAUGCGGAGGAAGGAAGGGGCCACGGCAGGUCAGUAUGCCCCGAAACUCUGGGGCCACACGCGGGCUGCAAUGGUAAUGACAAUAGGUUCCAAAUCCGAAAGGAGGAGGUAAUCCAUAAACAUUACCACAGUUAUGACUGAGGGCUGCAACUCGCCCUCACGAAUAUGGAAUCCCUAGUAACUGCGUGUCAUUAUCGCGCGGUGAAUACGUCCCUGCUCCUUGUACACACCGCCCGUC